rnacentral:ncRNA from 2 species
GGACGGAUCUCUGGAGAGACCAAUAAAUGGCGCCGAAGGGCAAAUUCCAUAGAUGGAAUAAUCUCUCAGGCAAAAGGACAGAGCAAAUUCA